GGAAGAGAAAGAAGAAGAAGAAGAAGAGACAACUUUGUCACGUUUGAGUAAUUUUGCCGCGAAAAAACAUUCCUCCCACUCGGUAUCCCAAUCAUCCCCUUCUACCUAAAAGUCUAGCCAAUAAGGAUGCACCACUCACACCACUGCAGCCCCCUUGUGACGACCUCUGUCAGUAGCGAAAGAGGGUGUGUUAGGUUAAACGGAGAGGCGACUGUCAUCGCGUCGUUCUUCGUGCCGAUUAACGAGCCGACUUAGACGAUACUUGCACCUCUGCGGGUGCUUCUUCGCGUGUAUUUGCCAGUGAUGGUUCCACGUUGCUUCCAUUACCUUGACGCCCUUAUUUUCUACACCGUUAAUAAUCAAGAAGAAGAAAAGAAACAGACACAGUGCACGAUGAUCUUUUGGAUUAGUUUUCCUUGCUCUUCCUAUGUGUGGAAUAGACACUGACGAUAUGGAUGCAAUAUGGCUUCAAUACUUUGGCAUAUCUCUGGGAAUAGUUAUGCUUCUCCUGCCUUUGUCUUGCUCUUAUUGUUACUCUUCCCAAACAAUACUACAGCCCGUGAGGUAAUUAAGGCUCCACUGCCAAAGCAAGACCACAUUUCAUCACUGCCACCACCACCGGGACGUCUCACCACUGCCAAAAUAUUAAAGUGCGAUCAAAAAUUUAUAAGCACUCCUGAUGGGCCGCAAAAUGGAACUUUCUAUGCACCCACGCUAAUAAAUCUAGAAGGAUCAUCUUGGCAGUGCAUUUACAUGUUUUUAGCAGGACCACGUCAACGCGUGGAACUUAUUUUUACUACAUUUGGCCUUCGAGGCAGGCCACCAGCUGGAUCUGCUGUUGGAGAAUUACCUGCUUGUAGCCAUGAAUACAUGGAUAUAUAUUCGGAAAUUCGUUCAGAUAACACUACCAAGUUAAUAGAAACACCAUUCGGAGGUCGUUUCUGUGGCCCAAUUCCACCUCGAAAACGUAUUUCUCUUUAUCAAGGCAUUGCUCUCAGUUUCUAUACUGAUAAAAAUAUAACGUUACCUACCCUAUUCAGUGGGAUAUAUACUUUUAUCAAUGCAUCCGUAUUUGAAAUUGGAACACCAAUACCAAGUGCACCAUGUUCUUUCACAAUAAAUUCAGAUGUUAAACGUAUUGGAAACUUAUUAUCUCCGACUUAUCCAGGAACGUAUCCAAAAGAUCUUUCAUGUAGUUAUCAAUUCAUUGGAAAACCAAGUCAAAGAAUACGCUUGGAGUUUCGAGAUUUUGACUUAUUCUUUGGCGGGCCGCAUUGCCCUUUGGAUUAUGUAAAAGUAUAUGAUGGACUCGACAAUACAUCUACUACUAUUGGAACAUAUUGUGGGCAACAACGCAAUUUGGUAUUAUAUUCAUCAGAAUCCAAUCUAUUUGUAUUAUUUGUUACUCUUCAGCGUACAGCGAAUACGCAAAAUCGUGGUUUUAAAGGAAUUUUUGAAUUUUCAGAAAGUUUUGUUAAAUUAGACUUUAUAACCAGUUAUAAUGGUGAACAUAUACGAGGCUCGGAAUGUGAUCAGAAGAUUUUAAGUAAAAAGAAAUCUUCUGGAUUUGUGGUUAGUCCUAAUUUUCCAUUUCCUUAUAUGCCAAAAGUUGUAUGCCGUUAUUUUAUUUAUGGAAUGCAAGAUAUACAACAUCUUGAACGCGUUCGCUUGGAAUUUGUAAUAUUUGAAAUUCCAAGAAAUGAAUUUAAAGAAGAUCCUGCAUGUACUGAUGGUUACUUAAAACUAUAUUUGAAAGGUCAAGAAACAACAGAUUCUUAUGAUAAAUUUGAUUAUGAAUUAUGUGGUGUGAAAAAUAAUCCAGAACAUGUAGUUAGCGAUGGCCCAAGACUUGUUAUGGUAUUUAGCAGUGGAGAAUACCAAGGAAAAGGUUUUAAAGCACGGUAUACUUUUGAGACAGAAUAUAAAAUACCUGGAACAGCAGAACCAGAUGGUACCUGUAUAUUUAGAUACAGAAGUUCCUCUCGAAAAAAGGGAGAUUUUAAUUCCCCACGAUAUCCUAGUAAUUAUCCAAGUGAUACAAAUUGUACUUAUUUCUUUUAUUCGACGCCGAAUGAACAAGUGACGUUGAUCUUUGAUCAUUUUAAAAUUAGAACCAGUAAUGUGAAUCUAACGAUCGGUCACUAUGGAUUAACUUUAUGUAAAAACGACUGGUUAGAAAUUUAUACUAUGUAUCGCGAUAAUACAGAAAAAUUAAUAGGCAGGUACUGUGGUAUGACUGCUCCAGGACCAGUAGAAUCAACUCUUGGUGCUCUCGGUUUAAAAGUAAUUUUACAUUCAGAUUCCGAAAAAGUUUAUAGCGGAUUUAAAGCGCGUUAUACUUUCGAGGUAGCAAAGCCAAUUUUUGGAGAUUGUGGAUCAAAUAUUAGCAGUUUGAAUUAUGGAAUAAUAACUAGUCCUAAUUAUCCAAAGAAAUAUGGUGGCCCGUCGAAAAAGUUUGCUAGUAAAACAUGUAAUUGGUUCAUAAAAGUACGACCGAAUCAACAAAUAUUAUUGAAUUUUGAUAAGUUUUCUGUAGAAGGUGAUCAAACUGCACGAGGUUGCCCUGCAGCAGUACUACGUAUGUGGUAUUCUAGUUCGUCCGCGCCAAUUGAGCUUUGUGGUGCUAAAAAUAAUAAUACCAAUUGGAGCUUUGUAUCAGAAGAUAAUAAUAUGCGUCUUAGUUUCAUAUCAGCAGAUAAAGCGGUUGGACAGCUUGGUUUUAGAGCAAUAUGGACAGAGAUAAAUAUAAACGGUGAUUGUCCAAAUCAAUUUCUUUGCAGCAAAAAUAAGUAUUGUAUUUCAAAAACGUUGAGAUGUAAUAAAAUCAAAAAUUGUGGGCCGAACGAUACAUCGGACGAAGAGAACUAAUACAUAAUAAUCGAUUCCAAAGCGUCGAUAACACAAAAGUCACUCAUAAAAAAAGAUGAUACGCGAUGCCUAUACAUACUAAAUUUUAACUUCUGGGUGCAGCAUCAGCCCCAUUGUCACCAGCACUGGCUGGAGUCUCUGCCAUGCUUCUUCUCUCUCUGUGCUUUGUGUUCGUGGCCAUCUGAGCCCCUCAUGAAGCUUCCGACGAUCCGGCAUGUUAUCUCCCUUAUCACGUGAGUUCUCUCACAGUAUUGCACAUCAUACCACAUGAAAUUCUUGAAGUGAUUGAUGUGUUUCCAAUAAAGACAGCUUUUCUUACAGCAAUUCCUGAGUCAUUGUUUUAUAAUAGACAAGUUUUGUAAUCAUUACGUAGCAUUAAUAACAUUAACACUUAACAAUAGAAAACAUUAACAACUGCUAGCAUUGAUUAUCGGAAUCAACAAAUAUGAAAUAUGUAUUAGAAUACUAAAACAUAUUUUUAUUUUUUUGUUAAUUGUACUACCCAUAUUUAAUUUUUUAAACCUGUUUUACAGGAAAUAAUAUAUGGUGUCAUUUACUUCUUCUAGAAAAAUACAAUAAUUCUUGAUCACUGUAACAACAUAACAUCGGCAGUUUUUACAGUACAUAAUUUCUUUAAAUCUUAAAAUUAUAUGUGGUAACACUGAAAUCAAAAAGCAUGCAGGAUGUUAUUUAUUAUGUCCCUCUUAAUCAUAUAAAUGCAUGUGAUUUUAUAUUCUUUUUGUGAGUCUUGCAAAAUAUUUCCUGAAUUGUAUUGUCGACCUUUCUCUUGUAGUUUCCAUCAAUAACCUUGAGAGUUUGCAAAUAAAAAUUUAUAAUUAUCUAUAUUGACACCAAGAUCCUUCUAAAAACUUUAGCACUAUAGAAAUUGUAAUGAAUUCUAUUUGUUAGAUGUAUUGCGAUCAACAAUUUUAUUGUGUUUAGGUGCUUCAAUGAUAUGAAAGAAACAAAGUUUGUACAUAUUGAUAAAAUGUACAUAGAUAUUUCAUGUGAGAUUUAAAAAAGUACUGGAUUAUAUAUGUAACAAUACACAAUCAAACAGAUUUUAUUCAUAAAU